CCUACGGGAGGCUGCAGUGGGGAAUAUUGCACAAUGGGGGAAACCCUGAUGCAGCGACGCCGCGUGAGUGAAGAAGUAAUUCGGUUUGUAAAGCUCUAUCAGCAGGGAAGAAAAUGACGGUACCUGAGUAAGAAGCCCCGGCUAACUACGUGCCAGCAGCCGCGGUAAUACGUAGGGGGCAAGCGUUAUCCGGAUUUACUGGGUGGAAAGGGAGCGUAGACGGCAGUGCAAGUCUGGAGUGAAAGGCGCGGGCCUAACCCCCGGACUGGUUUGGAAACUGUAGGGCUGGAGUGCAGGAGAGGUAAGUGGAAUUCCUAGUGUAGCGGUGAAAUGCGUAGAUAUUAGGAGGAACACCAGUGGCGAAGGCGGCUUACUGGACUGUAACUGACGUUGAGGCUCGAAAGCGUGGGGAGCAAACAGGAGUAGAUACCCGAGUAGUC
rnacentral:rRNA from 1 species